rnacentral:rRNA from 1 species
AGUGAACGCUAGCGGUAGGCCUAACACAUGCAAGUCGAACGGCAGCACAGGAGAGCUUGCUCUCUGGGUGGCGAGUGGCGGACGGGUGAGGAAUACAUCGGAAUCUACUUUUUCGUGGGGGAUAACGUAGGGAAACUUACGCUAAUACCGCAUACGACCUACGGGUGAAAGCAGGGGACCUUCGGGCCUUGCGCGAUUGAAUGAGCCGAUGUCGGAUUAGCUAGUUGGCGGGGUAAAGGCCCACCAAGGCGACGAUCCGUAGCUGGUCUGAGAGGAUGAUCAGCCACACUGGAACUGAGACACGGUCCAGACUCCUACGGGGGGCAGCAGUGGGGAAUAUUGGACAAUGGGCGCAAGCCUGAUCCAGCCAUCCCGCGUGGGUGAAGAAGGCCUUCGGGUUGUAAAGCCCUUUUGUUGGGAAAGAAAUCCAGCUGGCUAAUACCCGGUUGGGAUGACGGUACCCAAAGAAUAAGCACCGGCUAACUUCGUGCCAGCCGCCGCCGUAA